rnacentral:sRNA from 1 species
AGACAUCAGAGUGACCUGGCAGUGACAUUUGUCACCCACUGAUCAACUGGGCAGAUCUGAUUGAUCCGGUUAGCCAGGUGGAUGUCUCCUCCCCCACUGUUGCUCCAUAGCAUCCCUCCCAGAGACACACUUGGUGGAAGAAGACAACCUUCCUUGCCUAAUUGUAGAGGACCAUUCGGUGUGUAGCUGCACCCCCCCCCCACUAGAACCUCCGAACAAGCCCUUGACAUGCAAUCCUCCCACUCCACAGGUUCCAGAUCAAAGGCCGUCAGAGUCUGUAUCUUAUU